CCUCCUUUGUUCCUCCUUCGGGCAUCUUCCACAAUGGGCGAAAGCCUGAUGGAGCAACGCCGCGUGGGUGAAGAAGGUCUUCGGAUCGUAAAACCCUGUUGUUAGAGAAGAAAGUGCGUGAGAGUAACUGUUCACGUUUCGACGGUAUCUAACCAGAAAGCCACGGCUAACUACGUGCCAGCAGCCGCGGUAAUACGUAGGUGGCAAGCGUUAUCCGGAUUUAUUGGGCGUAAAGGGAACGCAGGCGGUCUUUUAAGUCUGAUGUGAAAGCCUUCGGCUUAACCGGAGUAGUGCAUUGGAAACGGGGAGACUUGAGUGCAGAAGAGGAGAGUGGAACUCCAUGUGUAGCGGUGAAAUGCGUAGAUAUAUGGAAGAACACCAGUGGCGAAAGCGGCUCUCUGGUCUGUAACUGACGCUGAGGUUCGAAAGCGUGGGUAGCAAACAGGAUUAGAUACCCCAGUAGUC
rnacentral:rRNA from 1 species